CCCUUAGAUGUCCGGGGCCGCACGCGCGCUACACUGAAGGAAUCAGCGUGGCUUUCUCCCUGACCCGAAAGGGUUGGGAAAACCGUUGAAUCUCCUUCGUGAUAGGGAUUGGGGCUUGAAAUUGUUCCCCAUGAACGAGGAAUUCCCAGUAAGCGCGAGUCAUAAGCUCGCGUUGAUUACGUCCCUGCCCUUUGUACACACCGCCCGUCGCUACUACCGAUUGAACGGUUUAGUGAGGGCCUCGGAUUGGUCUCGGCCCGCUCUUUACCGGGCGGCGCCGUUGGUCGAGAAGACGCUCGAACUUGAUCGUUUAGAGGAAGUAAAAGUCGUAACA
rnacentral:rRNA from 1 species